UUCGGGUGUUCCACACAAUGACACAAUCAACGAGCACCCUUCCUUCGUGCGGCGCUUCCAAGGUGACCACCGCCUCUCGUCCUCCCGCGCCAUCUCAUCUCCUCACCUCACUCAUCGCUUCCUCCGCUAACCCACUCGCCUCGGAUCGCGCGAACGAGGCUCUCCACUGCGGCAUGGCCGGCGACGAGGGCAGGGGCGGGGGCGGGGGCGGCGACGGCGGAAGCAACAGGGAGGAGGAGGUCCAGAUACAGAUCCCAGGAUCAUCCAAAGCUGCAACUUCCUCUACUAUUGAAACAUCACCCCAAAACUCUCCUACCAAGCAUUGGCAUUGGUGGUUGAUGGUAGCUCUCAACAUUUUCUUCCUCAUUGCUGGUCAGACUGCAUCAACACUCCUUGGGAGGUUUUAUUAUAAUCAAGGUGGCAAUAGCAAGUGGAUGUCCACAUUUGUCCAAACUGCUGGCUUUCCUGUGUUGUUCAUCGCCCUAUAUCUGUUCCGUUCAAAAUCACCUUCUACACAAUCGACCACCAGUAGCCCUGAGACUCCUGUCGCCAAAAUUACUCUGAUAUAUAUUGCCUUGGGGCUCAUCAUUGCUGCAGACGACUUGAUGUAUUCCUAUGGCCUAUUGUACCUUCCUGUAUCAACAUAUUCCCUUGUUUGUGCUAGUCAACUGGCCUUUAAUGCCGUCUUCUCAUAUGUCCUCAAUGCUCAAAAGUUCAGCCCAUUGAUUUUCAACUCUGUAAUCCUCCUUACCUUUUCUGCUUCACUCCUUGGAGUCGACGAAGAUUCUCAGGGUACUAAUGAUUUCUCGCAUGGGAAGUACAUCCUGGGUUUUCUUUUGACGCUAGGAGCAUCAGCCACAUACUCACUCAUUCUCUCUCUAAUGCAAGUUACAUUUGAGAAGGUUAUUAAGAGGGAGACUUUCUCAGUUGUGUUAAGCAUGCAGAUAUAUACUGCAUUAGUGGCAACGGUGGCUUCUCUUAUUGGGUUAUUCGCAAGUGGUGAAUGGAAGACUUUAAAUGGAGAGAUGCAUGCUUUCAGGUCAGGGAGGCUGUCCUAUGUGAUGACACUUCUGUGGACUGCUAUAUCUUGGCAGAUAGCUUCUGUUGGAGUGGUGGGGUUGAUCUUUGUGGUAUCAUCACUCUUUUCAAAUGUGAUAAGCACACUCGCCCUACCUAUCAUUCCAGUUUUCGCUGUGAUUUUCUUCCAUGACAAGAUGGAUGGAGUGAAGAUUAUUGCUAUGUUGAUGGCCAUCUGGGGAUUUAUUUCAUAUGGCUACCAGUUAUAUGUUGAUGACAGGAAAGCUAGGAAGACUUCAGUCAGUGUGGAGGAGAAUUCUUAAGUGCUCGUUACAUUGUUCUCUGCAGCUCCUACCAAUUUAAUUUGUUGGUCGAGCAAGGUACUGGUUAUUAUUUAUAGCCAAUAAGAAGUUCGUCUGAGAAACUCAUGUUGCACAAUUUUGUAGGACCAUGAAUCCUUAUGAGCAUAUCCAGUCGAUUAUGUUACUGGAUGCCAAAAAAUGUGUAGUUACCAGUGUUAAGCUUUGUACAUGUGUAAUAAAAGGAAAAUGCACAAUUGGAACUGGCAGACCAUAAAAUGAUAAUAUCAGCAAGCAGUUUACUGGUAUUUGCUAAUGGGCAUAGUAAGAGUUUGGCAACAUAAAAAUUCUUCCUGAGAAAGUGAAUAUGCAUGUUUUGCUCAUGAGCAUUCUGCAGUCUGCAUGAGUAGGCUGAUCAUACCUAAGCAAUGGAGCUUGAUCAGAAGGCUGAGCACCCGUGUUGAUGGACUGAAGAUAUUCAAGGCCAAGAGGCUUAUUCUCCAAGAAUGACAACAUUAUUAUUCAGAAUCGUUGAGGCGGCUGACCUUCUCAUCAUCCUACUACUAUUCUUGGCUGGCUCAACUGUGAGUCUACGACCAAGCGGUGGUAGCAAGCAAGUGCAUGGCAAGAUGGUCCAGUCCUGCUGUGAUACAAGCCUUGUCCUCAGAGUUCAAGGUGCUACACACUUUGUUGGACACGGAUCCUACUGCACAUGUCAGCGACUUUCAAUGCCUCUCAAUACUGCAGAGGAUCCCGGUUGCACUUUGUUGGUCCUAAACUCCUCAUCACGAACAAACUGAUGCAGUCGUAUCCUCUAUUCAUCUCCUCCACUUGGCAGUAUCAAUGUAUGCUCCCAUUUGUGUACCUCAGAUCUUGCAGAAGAUGGUCUUCUUGUACCUUACAAACCAUAAAGUCAGUGCAUGAAUGUUCAACUUGGUCAAGCUGCUUACCUUCUGGGCUCUAUUCCUGGGUGUGAACCCUAACUCAACUUUGCCUGGGUUUUUAUCUUUGAGGCAGCAAUAGUGAUGAGAAGAAAUGCUUACAACAACGGUGACCAGUCUGGUCUCCACGAUCGGCAGUCUGUGGUUUUUAGAUACUUAGGCGCUGUUCAUACUGCCCGUAAUGAGCACAAUUCUGCUGCCACUGAGGUGCUGUUCAUCUGGAUAAAUGUGUGACGAGAUCAGAAUUGGAUGGGUUGAAUAUAUUUGCGACUCAUGGUUGUGUGGUGAUUCCUCCACUACCAUUAGUGUUCUCUUGAUGACAACGUUAAUGUUACAGCUCAGCACAGUACAAAGCUUUUUUUUUCUUUUGCAGAAAGAGCUCAGAUUUUUCAGUCAAAACUGUUCAACUACAGAGUAUAUGCGGUACAACGGAUACAUAUGAAGCUUCUGCUGGUACGUCGUACCAGCUGUUCAAUUAUAGAGUUUCUGCCAUAAUUUUUUGAGACUAGAAGUCGACAAGUUUUGGGCCCUGCAAUUUUGGUACAUUCAGUUCACUUACCUGUAUCUCACCACUAUGAACUGACAAAUGCGCUCAUUACACAACACAAUGGCACGUGUCAACAGUAUGUGAACCAUCUAUCUUA